UAUUACAGCAAAUGUCCUGUAACAAAAAGGAGCAUGACAGUUGCUGUAAUUAUACUGGUGGAAAAAAAAUACGUGUCGAUAAAUUACGUGUCUUCAAUUAAUUUUCAAUCGCACAUUAGAUAAAAAUCUGUAACUGGCAUCCCAGUAAGCGACCAAAGUAGAAACGUCAAAAGCAGCGCGCGGACUUUGUUUUGAUUCGGUUGUUCGUUUCGUGCCAGAGAAGUCCAGCAGCAGGAAAAGCCGGCGAACAACUUCGUGGCUAUCCUUUAAGUGGUGUACUGUUUUUCGUUUCCAUCAAAAAGCGCCAAUUCAGGAAAUUUAUUUAAUCUUGCGUUAGUGAUAUACACUGAGCAGUGCAGUGCAAUUAUCCAGAUGUGCUGUUCCUGUCCGGAAGCGUAAGCAGCAAAUUCAAACGACCGCCAACCGGGCGAAGAAGAUUACCAUGUCUGAACUGAAAACGAUGCAGCAACGUCUACGAAAACGGAGGAAGCAUAUUUCGCACUAUGGAGCAGGUGACGAGAGUAAGCUAACACAAGUACGGGGGAUAUUUCCCCGGGUACCAGGGAUCUGCGAAAUAUCAGCUGGCACAAAUAUUACGCUUUCAAUAUUCGGUCCCGACCAGCCUUGUAGUCUCUAGUGCAGUAUCGGAUUGUCAUCUAACAACCGCAAAUUUUCCAGCCAAAAUAACCAGAAAAUGCUACCAGAUAAUCAUCUCCAAUUGCCAGUGCUUUCCUAAUGGCAUCAAGAUGUCCCCGUCGGACUUUGAUUUGACUGAAUACUAUCUGGAUCACAAGUAGCCGUUUCCGAGCAGUGAUUGUGUUUCGCCAGUGUCAGAAGUGUUAGGUGAUAAUUAUAUUUUUUUAAAUUUGUUUUUAAAUGAAUUUAAUAAAUUAAACAACAGUUUCAAAAAGUGUUUCUGAAUAUUAUUUGUGAACAAAUCCAAUUUGAAACCGAGCUAAAGUAAACC